AACGUUGGCUCGACGAAGAUUUCCCAAGUCGAUGAUGGGCGUGCGAAGCAUUGCGUGGGCUGUGGGCGUGGGCGUGUUGGUCCUCCUGGCUCGGGUGGAGGGUCACGGGCGCAUGAAUUUUCCAGCUGGAAGGUCCACCGCCUUGGAGACACGGCUUCGACACGCCAAUCAACUAUAACGACGACGAACUCAACUGCGGGGGUUUGGGGACCCAAUACGAGCAAAACGGCGGCAAGUGCGGAGUCUGCGGCGACAACUGGGCCAACCCUCAGCCGCGUGCGAACGAGGCUGGUGGAAAGUACGGGACGGGGCUCAUCGUCGCGAACUUCACCAAGAACCAG